ensembl:lncRNA
AACAAUGGCAAUCUCAAAGAGACAGGUGACAUAUUGAAUCACCCAGAACAGAAUCGCACCUCCUUUUGCUUUUCUCCCAAUCAGAGGAAUACACAUUGCCACCGUGCAGUUGGUACACCACAAUGAAAUCGACAAUGACUGAAAGUAAACAUACAUACAUAUAUACAUAUGCAAACACACAAUUAUACACACACGUCUACAUAAUAAUAAUAUUUAAAAAAAAUUAAUAACCAAUACAAAAAUUAAAUAAAUAACAAUAAAAAAAGGAAAAAAAAGAAAAACAAGGAACAAAAAUAAAGGAGACAAGGGGGAUCAUAAAAUCUCUAAAAGUGAGGUUCCAUAAACAAGACACAAAACUUAAAUAAGGGGCUAAGAAAAAUCAAACUCUUCUAAAAAUCUAUGCAAUUUGAUUGCUUGGGGCUUAUUUAUUGGCUUAAGAGAUUUACGGAACAGGGAGAGUUCGUUUUUAAGAGCAGACCAUGAAGGGGGGGAUUUAGCAUAUCGGCAUUUAUGAGUGUAAUACUUUGUUAUAAUAAUGAGAUUGUUAACUAAAAACUCACUAUUUUUGUCCUUAAGGAUUACUCCAAUUUGAAUAUUUUGAAAAGACCAAAAAUCAAUAUUUCCAUACUGGGACAAUAUUAGGACAUGGAGGGAUUUCCAUAAGUUCUGGAUUGUCACACACCCAUAAAACAUGUGCUCUGUUGUUUCCGAAGUUGUUUUACAAAUAUAACAGUUGUCUAACACAAAUUUAAAUCUGUCUCUCAUAAAUUCAUUGGAGGGGUAAAUAUUUUUUGUAGUUCUAAAAUGGACUUCUUUAAAUUUGGGGGGAAUUGGAAAUUUUAAAUAUUUGGUUCUGAUCAACGAGAUCUCAGAUUUGUUAUAAUCUUUAAAGAUGAGUGAAUGUUUUGUCCUACCUGGAUAUAAGAUGUUAACCAAAUACCUCCUCAAAAACUGAUUAUUGCAUUUUUCAUUAACCAAGUCAAGACCAUCUAAUUUAAUUUUAUGUAAAUUUGGAGUCGGUAUAUUUGAAAAAUUAUUCUUUAUCGUAUUGACAAGGACUAUUGGGAUAUUCUGUGAAACCUUUUUGUAGAGCUCGAACGAGCAACUCGUGUCAUAUUUCUCAUUAAACCUGUUUAAUUCAAGUAUAUCUCCAUUUUCAUCCAUUAUAUGUGUCACAGACCAAAUUUGUUUUGUCAUCCAUUCUUCCACAAACAUAGAUUUCCCCCGAUUCAAUAUCACCCUAUUAUUCCACAAUGGAACGUUGUGGGGACUAAAGUUAUGUUUAAACAUUAAUUUCCAAUUUAACAAAACUUGUUGAUGAAAUUUGGAGAGUUUUAUGGGCAGUUUAGAAAUUUCAAAAUCACAUACUAAAAGGAAUUGGAUCCCCCCAACUUUGUUGAAAAUAAGAGAUGGUAUCAAGAACCAGAUGUCAUUAUCAUUUUUUAAGAAGGAUCGGAGCCAAUUAAUCUUUAAGAUGCCAUUCAUUAUUUCAAAAUCGAUUGCUUUCAAACCCCCCUCUUCAUAGUCUUUUAUCAAGUCCCUGUUACUGAUAUAAUGAUGUUUAUUUUUCCAUAUGAAAUUAAAAUUCAGCUUAUUGAUGUCUUUUAUAAUUCUUGGUGGGAUGGCUAGGGAAUAAGCUGGAUAGAUUAAUCUGGACAAAGAUUCAACCUUGGUCAACAUUAUCCUGCCGAACAAAGUUAAGUCUCUCUGUAGCCAAUGGUUUAGAGUUUUUUUGCAUUUGUCAAUUGUAUUCUGAAUAUUCUUUUCUUCGCUAUCAGCCAUGCAUUUAGUUAGCCAAAUUCCAAGAUAUUUGACUUCAUUUUUGACAGAACAAUUGUGGAUACUCAUGAGUUCAC